AUCUCAUGAUUUGGGCAUUGCAAUAAAUAUUUGUUGAAUCUUUUUCAUGCCUUAUGCAAUGGUUCACCACUUAGUAGGAAAAAAUUAAUGAUUUCAUCCCUUAAUU
rfam:Capsicum annuum cultivar Zunla-1 chromosome 9, whole genome shotgun sequence